rnacentral:rRNA from 1 species
AUUGAACGCUGGCGGCAGGCCUAACACAUGCACGUCGAACGAGUGGCGGACGGGUGAGUAAUGUCUGGGAAACUGCCUGAUGGAGGGGGAUCACUACUGGAAACGGUAGCUAAUACCGCAUACCAUCGGAUGUGCCCAGAUGGGAUUAGCUAGUAGGUGGGGUAAAGGCUCACCUAGGCGACGCUCCCUAGCUGGUCUGAGAGGAUGACCAGCCAAACGGGAACUGAUACACGGUCCAGACUCCUACGGGAGGAAGCAGUGGUGAAUAUUGCACAAUGGGCGCAAGCCUGAUGCAGCCAUGCCGCGUGUAUGAAGAAGGCCUUCGGGUUGUAAAGUACUUUCAGCGGGGAGGCGUUACCCGCAGAAGAAGCACCGGCUAACUCCGUGCCAGCAGCCGCGGUAAUUC